rnacentral:rRNA from 1 species
CUCCUUGCACACACCGCCCGUCAAACCACCCGAGUAGGGUCUGAAUGAGGGCGUAUCUCAUGAUAUGUUCGAAUUUGGGCUCUGCAAGGGGGGUU